GAUGAAGAACGCAGCGAAAUGCGAUAAGUAAUGUGAAUUGCAGAAUUCAGUGAAUCAUCGAAUCUUUGAACGCACAUUGCGCCCGUUAGCAUUCUAGCGGGCAUGCCUGUCCGAGCGUCAUUUCAACCCUCAGGGUCCCCGUUCCGGCGGGGAACCUGGUGUUGGGGAUCGGCCCGCCCCGUGCGGCGCCGUCCCCCAAAUUCAGUGGCGGUCUCGCUGCAGCCUCCCCUGCGUAGUAGUUACAACCUCGCAUCGGAGCUCAGCGCGGCCACGCCGUAAAACCCCCGACUUUCUGAACGUUGACCUCGGAUCAGGUAGGAAUACCCGCUGAACUUAAGCAUAUCAAUAAGCGGAGG
rnacentral:misc_RNA from 1 species